CCUCAUAUAAGCUUCACAUCAACUUUUAAAUGCAUUUCACACAAAAUGACUGUGAAAAUGACCACACCAGCAUUACUGAAACUUACAACAAACUGUCCUGGUUCCCUGGAGAAGUUAGAUUUAGUUAUAGCAUACUCAUAUUUAUAAAGUCAUGUUAUCAGGUACACCCCAUUUGGUUGUUGUUUAAUAAGUUACUCUAACAUGUAUCUUGUUUCCUGAAGUAUUUUGAGGGCGUGGACCCCAGGAAGACUAGCAACCGCUGUGGCAGAAGCAAAGAGGGAGUAUAGUAACAAAAAGAGGGACUCUGGCACUAAAAAGACUGUAACAUUAAAAAUAUAUCUACUUGAUUUGACUAUCUGAAGCUAAUUAGAAGCUUCACAUUAAACUUUUAAAUACAUUUUUGCACAAAAGGAGGACUGUGGAAGUAAAAGUGGUGGUGGUAUCUUCCCAUCUGACUUAUAGUUAGACAGUAAAUAAGGGGAUAUUAUAACAUCAGUGAUAUUUUCUUGGUGAUCUUCACUCUGUUAUUCACAGUUCCUUACAAGACCGUCAGCCUCGAGGUAAAUGAGAAAGACAUGAAAGCCGUCUGCACUGUCCAAAGGGGAUUCCCUGAACCGCUGGUCUCCUGGAGACUCCAACACCUUUUCAACGACUCUAAACAAUGGUCAGACCCGAGGAAUGAACACACUAAAGCAGUGCAGGAUGCUGAGGACCAUCUCUACAAUGUCAGCAGCACUAUAGGAUUCAAUGGAGGUCAAUAUCAAAAUGUGACCUGCAUCAUCUACAACCCUACCCUAAAUGUGACAUUGAGUAAAACCUACGUUUUCAACAAAGGUAAACAUCUGUGGGGCCUCCCUGUGUGGGCUUCGAUUCUGAUUGCAGCUGCUACAGUUCUGUUGGUUACAACUGUGAUUACCACAUAAAAUAUGACGUGAACACAAUCCUUAACAUGUGAAUUUUUCCGAUCCUUGGGGAGGGACCUGGCUGCAGACAAGAUGGCGGAUCUCAACCAUGUAGGAGAUGUGUCCUUCAGGCCGGACGUGGUUCUUUUUUGUGGUGUUCAUUAGAGACAUUGAUGACUCCAAGAGGUGGCGGUAAUGCAUGUCAUGUUGGCUGCAGCCUGUCAUGAAAUCGGGAAAAAGAAGAAGAUAAAUUGGAAGACUUUUAGGGCAAAUAAUUUUGCUUUAGAGUUUGUUCAAACAGAGAUUUCCUCGUAGUUCUGACCGACUGAGUAGCAGUGAGUGCUUGUAAAGGUCUUUACCAGAGGUUAGUUCAACCAUGGGCCAGUAUAAACGCAAGCUAUUAUGAUGUUUCAUAACACUUUUUAACACUGUUAAGGACUGUAUCUGAGGGGGGAAAAUGGCAUCAACGCACCAUUUCUGUUCGACUGCCAGACAUUUGUGUUUGUGGUUGGUUAGUUGUAAAUUAGAGAAUAAGGGACGAAACCGUCUAAUGGGACUAUAAAAAGCCUCUGGUGACAAUUGUGUGUUUAAUAAUCCAUUAAUGACACAAUAUUUAUAAAUGUGUGUGAUGAUUUGUGAGUAAUUUAAAUGCAUUUUUUAACAGUUUUUACAUAAUAUAAGCCUUAGUGGUGUUGGAUAUUAUUGGCCAGCUACAGACCAGUCUCCGCCACUAAUCCUUGUAUAGUUUAUCUAUUUCUACCAUUGUCAUAUUUAUAUUUUUAGACUGUCUUUGUGAGUGAAUGAACUGUAAUGUGUGCUUUGUUUGAAAACUCGCUUGCCUCAAACGCCCCUUGAGGGAUGGAUAAAGUAUUUUGAAUUGAACUGAAUUGAUCUACGAAUACCAAACAAUUGUACACAUAAAUACAACCUUAAGU